AAAGAAAAUAGUACAAGGUGGGGUGCCAUCCCUUUAGCUUACCAUGUGUGUUCUAGGAUGAAGAAGAAGAUGGGAUCACAGUGAGGGUCGAAGAGUGGGGUAAACAGGAGGUGGCCCACUGCUCUAGUUCGUACUAGAGAAAGAAGAAUAUAAUCGUUUUGCUGACCUUGAAAUCUGUCAACUGUUGUCACCUAGAAAUGGGAUAACAACAUGUAUUUUUCAAAACCAUAUGGGAAAUAAUAUAAUUUCUUUGGAUCAUUAUGAAAAAUGAAAAUAUCCUAUGUGCUUUAACCAAGACCUAGGAUGGGCAGAACCAAAGAAGCUAAGGAUCACUGUGAAUAUGAAGAAUCAUACAUUGUUUAAAGAAAGCCCUAGUCCUUAUUCGAUUGCUUUGUGAAGGUUCUACCUGGUUUCUCUGAUUCUAAUAGAAUACAAUGAUAUCAUGAUUUCUGGAGCCCAAGGAAGACUGGCAUGAGAGUUUACUACAUUAAUGCUAAAAAAUAAAAUUUCAGAUAUACAGUA